rnacentral:piRNA from 1 species
UCUGUAUACAGCAGUGCCCAGGACAGUCC